rnacentral:tRNA from 1 species
AGGGAAAUAGCUCAGUGGGAGAGUGCGUGCUUAGCAUGCACAAGGUCCUGGGUUCAAUUUCCAGUGCCUCCA